UCUGCACUCAUUGCUGGUCCUAUGAUGCCAUCUAUUGGCGAUAACGUGCAACAGCAUAAUUAAACUAAAAGACAACUUCUGACAGGACAACAAAAAGACAGGGAAUGAGAAUAAGGGAAUAACAAAAAGACAAAAAUGGGGGGUCCACUACACUUGCAUACAAACUGAUUGUGAUGCUGUCACUCAUUUUCUAGUCUAUAUCUUGGACUGAAAAAGGAUUACAUUAUUAUGUUUCAGGUGUUUUGCCCCUGCGGUUGUGAGGAGGAUGCUGUGUAGGUGGCAGCGUGAACGUGUCACACAGACAUUGGCUAAACUACUCGGCAAACAACAAACCACACUUCACCUGGAAAACAGAGCCAGGACUCACUGUCAGAUGUCUGCAAAUGUACAGUAGGCUACACGCCAGCAGGUCUCACCAUAGUCAGCAUCAUCAAGGAUUGUCACUCCGACCUGAGAAGAGGCCCCAUAGAGACACGGACAAGGACCAGCCACUGUUGCCAGUGCACAACUGAGGACCCGACCAGCCUGCUGCCAUCUAUGAUACUAUAUAGUACCCGCGGAGCGGUCUGAAGACGUGGAGUACACUGCAGCAGGUAUCACAUGACCAAGGACUUGGACAACGUCUCUGUUUACAUCUAUAGUGUAUUACACAAGUGAGUGUACACCCCCAUAUUUCUGCAGAUGUAAUGGGACAAUAAAGACAUUUGAAAACUGAAAAUGAAGUCUGCACUUCAAGCUCAUCACAUUAAAUAAGUAAAACAGGAGCUUGGUGAGCAGACUUAAUUUUCAGUUGUCAUUUGACUUUGUUAGUCCUGCACCCAAAACUUUUUUGAGAAGGAUGUUCAUGGGUUUUUCCUUUUUAAACAAAUGUAGACAUUUUUACUACACUGAAAUGUUAUAGUUACUCUAUAUAUACCAGUGAUAUGCUUCAAUUAUG